UCAGUCCCAUACUGUCUUUUAAGUGUCCGGGAUAAUAAAGAAUUGAAAAUGCUUCUUACACGGCGCUGAAUU